rnacentral:lncRNA from 1 species
CCACGCCCCGCGCUGGGUUUCUACCUGAGUCAUCAGCCGGUCGGCUCCAGUGUUUUCUUCAUCCUUAAAUAUGAUGUCGGGGUUGUAAUUGGGGGGGGGCCGAGUUGAAGGAUGGCCUUCAAUUCCGUGAUCCCACGACACUGACCUCGGAAGAAUCCAGGGGCUUGUCCGACAGUCUCUGCAUGGCGGGAAGUGGAGACUCGAGCCCCUCAUUUUCCUGCCCAGAGCCCCCCUUCCCUGCGCCUCAGUGUGUAGCAGGUGCCAUUGUGCAGGUGAGGGAAACCAGGCAGAGAGGUGAGAUCUGUCCGAGCCCAGGCAGAAGAUAGGACAGCAGGCGUGUCAGAGGG